ensembl:lncRNA
AAACGUUGGAUUUUUAUUACGUUUCAUUACAAAGGAUGCAAAGGUACAAAGACAAAAGCGGCCACGCCAGAGGAUGGGGCAGGGACGGCCGAGUGUGCCCUGAGCCACCUGCCCCCGCCCGCUGUGGCCGCCCACAAUCAUGGCCCACGGGAUGUCCGUGGCAGAGUAUACAUGCUGGGGUUGGGGGAGAGCCAGCCUGGGCACAGAGGGGCACAGGCGGGAACAGGGCUCGGACUGGCGGGUUUGCAUAUAUCAGUGGGGCCGCCCAGCCCCUCGGGGGCAGUUUCCUACUCAGGGGCAUGGCAGGGCCAGUGGACUUUGGCUGCCAAAGCCCUCCUUCCCCAGGGGAGAACAGUGUCUGUGGCCAGUGGGGGUGGGUGGACACCUGUGCCACACGGAAGGGUAUGGGGUGCCUGACCCCUGCCUGGUCAGGACCCUGGAAGGCCAAGGGCCACAGGGAACAGGACACUCAGGUGGAGCUGGCUGCGGAACAUCCCAGGGACCCCCAAAUCACACGCCGCAAGACCCCCCAGGAAAUGGAGGCCCCUGGUCCAUGGCGAAUGGGGAUAGAGAGAGACCCAGGUGUCCAUGUAGCCCAGGCAGGCCUCCCAGGGUGAGGGGCCGAGUCUUGCCCCUGCUCUUAGGCUGUGUAGGGAAGGCUCUGGCGCCCGCACACCCUGACCCAGAGCACCACACGCAGGUGACGGGCCAGGCCCAGGGGCACAUCUGUGCCAUCGGCUUUGUGGCCCUUGUUCUGAGAGCCCUUGCGUCCCACCCCCACAGGGAGGGCCCCUCGGCCUCUGAGACGGCUCCAUCAGGACCCAGUGAAGGUGACGGGAGCUGCUGUUUUCAGGGCGAGGCGACAGAGGACCCCUGAAUACUGCUGGACCUCACUCUGCCAGUCUAUCCCUGGUUGGAGGGCUCCUUGGAAAUACAGAAAACUCAGGAAGCAGAUCGCAGCCUGAGUUUGGAAGGAUGUUUGGUUAAAAAACAGCUCAAGGCCCACCUAACAGGGGCACCAGAGCCCCCUCUAGGGACAGGUCCCACUGAGCCUGAUCAGGCCUGGGAUGCUGGGCAGAAGAGGCUCACACCUGUAGCCCCAGAACUUUGGGAGGUAGAGGAGGGAGGAUUGCUUGAGCCCAGGAGUCCAAGACCAGCCUGGGCAACACAGCAAGACCCCAUCUCUAAAAAAAUAAAAUAGAAGCCACCCUGCCUUGCCCCCCAUGGGCCUGUCCCACCUGACUGGGCUCAGGCAAGGUCCCAGCUCACAGCCCCCAAGCUUGACAUCCAAGCCCCAGCAGGAGGGAUGGAUGGACAUGGGAGGCCCUCCUGGCUAAGGGUCCUCCUGUGAGCUCGGCCCCCUGAAGAAAUCAGGCCAAAGACACCAAUGCCAACACUCUCCUACCCAGAGCCGAAAACGCACAAGCAGGGCCCUGACGGGGGCAAAGAACCCUCUUCUCUGGAGGACACAGAGAGAGGCUGAGCUCGGGCUACACCCUCUGCCUGCCAGACUCGCCACCCUGGGGAGUGACGUCAGCGAAACAGGCAGGUGGGGAUGCCAUGCUCUCAGGAGGGAGAGCCCUGGCCAAACUUCACCGUAGGGGACUGGUGUGCCCAGUGGAGGGUCUGC